rnacentral:rRNA from 1 species
GCAAGUCGAACGAAGUUAUGAGGGAGCUUGCUCCCGAUUAACUUAGUGGCGGACGGGUGAGUAACACGUAGGCAACCUGCCCACAAGAUCGGGAUAACAUUCGGAAACGGAUGCUAAGACCGGAUACACAAUUCGGCCGCAUGGCUGGAUUGGGAAACACGGAGCAAUCUGUGGCUUGUGGAUGGGCCUGCGGCGCAUUAGCUAGUUGGUGGGGUAAAGGCUCACCAAGGCGACGAUGCGUAGCCGACCUGAGAGGGUGAACGGCCACACUGGGACUGAGACACGGCCCAGACUCCUACGGGAGGCAGCAGUAGGGAAUCUUCCACAAUGGGCGAAAGCCUGAUGGAGCAACGCCGCGUGAGUGAGGAAGGCUUUCGGGUCGUAAAGCUCUGUUGCCAGGGAAGAAUAAGGGCUAGUUAACUGCUAGUCCGAUGACGGUACCUGAGAAGAAAGCCCCGGCUAACUACGUGCCAGCAGCCGCGGUAAUACGUAGGGGGCAAGCGUUGUCCGGAAUUAUUGGGCGUAAAGCGCGCGCAGGCGGUUCUUUAAGUCUGGUGUCUAAGUGCGGGGCUCAACCCCGUGAUGCACUGGAAACUGGGGAACUUGAGUGCAGAAGAGGAGAGCGGAAUUCCACGUGUAGCGGUGAAAUGCGUAGAGAUGUGGAGGAACACCAGUGGCGAAGGCGGCUCUCUGGACUGUAACUGACGCUGAGGCGCGAAAGCGUGGGGAGCAAACAGGAUUAGAUACCCUGGUAGUCCACGCCGUAAACGAUGAGUGCUAGGUGUUGGGGGUAUCAUGCCCUCGGUGCCGAAGUUAACACAUUAAGCACUCCGCCUGGGGAGUACGGUCGC